AUUGCUUCUAGGCUUUUUAGCUAAGAUCAAGUGUAGUAUCUAUUCUUAUCAGCUUAGUAUCUGAUACAUCCUCUACCUGAGGACAAUAUAUUAAAUGGAUUUUUGGAGCUGGGAGAUGGAAUAGGAGCUUGCUCCGUCCACUCCAUGCAUCGACCUGGUAUUGCAGCACCUCCAGGAAUGGUGCACCCCCU
rnacentral:snRNA from 1 species